AGAGUUUGAUCGUGGCUCAGGAUGAACGCUAGCGGCGCGCUUAAUGCAUGCAAGUCGAGCGAUGAGGCCCUUCGGGGUACAUCAGCGGCAAACGGGUGAGUAACACGUAGGUGACCUACCCUCAAGACGAGGAUAACGGCUGGAAACAGUCGCUAAUACUGGAUGGACUUUCGGGGUCAAAGCCGGAAGGAAAGCCGAACCGACCUUUGGGUUGGUUGGCGUUUGAGGAGGGGCUUGCGGCCCAUCAGCUAGUUGGUAAGGUAACGGCCUACCAAGGCGAAGACGGGUAGGGGGUGUGAGAGCAUGGCCCCCCACAAUGGGACUGAGAGACGGCCCAUACUCCUACGGGAGGCAGCAGCAGGGAAUAUUGCACAAUGGGCGGAAGCCUGAUGCAGCGACGCCGCGUGAGUGAAGAAGGCCUUCGGGUUGUAAAACUCUUUUCUGGGGGAAGAGGCAGGACGGUACCCCAGGAAUAAGUGUCGGCUAACUACGUGCCAGCAGCCGCGGUAAUACGUAGGACACGAGCGUUAUCCGGAUUUACUGGGCGUAAAGCGUCUGCAGGCGGUCGGGUAAGUUGGACGUGAAAGCUCCGUGCUUGACGCGGAGAGGCCGUACAAUACUGCGUGACUAGAGGACGGUAGAGGGGCGUGGAAUUUCCGGUGUAGCGGUAAAAUGCGCAGAUAUCGGAAGGAACACCAGUGGCGAAGGCGGCGCCCUGGGCCGGGCCUGACGCUGAGAGACGAAAGCUAGGGGAGCGAACAGGAUUAGAGACCCUGGUAGUCCUAGCCCUAAACGAUGGAUGCUAGGUGUGGGAGCGAGCAGCUUCUGUGCCGAAGCCAACGCGCUAAGCAUCCCGCCUGGGGAGUACGGCCGCAAGGUUAAAACUCAAACGAAUUGACGGGGCCCCGCACAAGCAGCGGAGCGUGUGGUUUAAUUCGAUUUACACGAAGAACCUUACCUGGGUUUGACAUACAAGUGGUAGCGAAGCGAAAGCGGAGCGACCCUUCGGGGAGCUUGUACAGGUGCUGCAUGGCUGUCGUCAGCUCGUGCCGUGAGGAGUCGGGUUAAGUCCCGUAACGAGCGCAACCCUUACCCUUAGUUACAAGUGUCUAAGGGGACUGCCGGCGGGAAGCCGGAGGAAGGUGGGGAUGACGUCAAGUCAGCAUGGCCCUUAUGUCCAGGGCUACACACACGCUACAAUGGUCGGUACAAAGGGUAGCCAAGCCGCGAGGUGCAGCGAAUCCCAACAAAGCCGGUCGUAGUUCGGAUAGCAGGCUGCAACCCGCCUGCUUGAAGCUGGAGUUGCUAGUAACCGCGCGUCAGCUAUAGUGCGGUGAAUACGUUCCCGGGGCUUGUACACACCGCCCGUCACGUCAUGGGAGUCGGUAACGCCUGAAGCCGGUCGUCUAACUGGAAACAGGGGACGCUGUCGAAGGCGGGGCUGGCGACUGGGACGAAGUCGUAACAAGGUA
rnacentral:rRNA from 1 species